GGACGAACCACGAGAUAAGAUUACACCACAAAGGAUGCUUAUCCAUAGGCCGAUAAACCCUACCCGUCCUGCUAACGAGAGGUGGACUACAGAGGACCAACGUAACUGUCACCUACGCGGCCUACCACACGAUCCAGCUAGAUAGGGGAUAUCCACAAGUAAUCUAGAUCUAAGCACCUCGCUUACACCUAUACUACAACUCUCACCUAUAGCGUCCUAU
rnacentral:lncRNA from 1 species